AUGAGCUGUCACGCACUGGAAUCAAACAAAAAUCUAUCAUCAUAUAUCAGUGUUUCAGACAGAACUGAAAACUACAUCAGUUUCAAGGCUGAAUCACUACAAAUUCACAUCACGAGUAAGUUGCAUAAUUACAGAUGAAUUCACCAAAAAUCAUCCUAUCAAAAUCACUAAACCCAUACAGUGGCAAGAAUCUAUACCAUAUCAAUAGUUGCAAGAAUCCAUACCAUAUCAACAGUUGCAAAAAUCCAUACCAUAUCAACUGUUGCAAAAAUCCAUACCAUUCAACUGUUGCAAAAAUCCAUAUCAAGCGUUUGGAAGCUGAUUUCGAUGAACAGUGAUACCAGUUUGUGCCCCGGAUUCUGCUGCGAGCUUUCUGAAGAAAAUCAAGUCGUCGUCCUCAGCUAGCUCUACAUCUCGGACUCCAUCCGAGUAGGAAAGAUGGAAUCUGCCAAUCACCGGUCCGAAUCUAGAUGCAAUUCGCUCGUUCAGGAACUGGAUUCCCUGAUUGGGAGGGAAAUCCAAUCUUAUACACCUCGUCUGAUGGGUUAUCGGGAUAUUAACGAAUUGCUUUUCUCCUUACUCCCCUUGAAUAAUGUUUGAAGAAGACAAAAAAACAUUGCAAAGUUUCAAGUACGACCUUAAUGAUUUUUUGGUCCAGACUCAAACCAACCAAUUCUAUUGCAAACCGAUGAUGAUCUGCAGCCUCCCCCGCUCUCUUCACUCCGAUAACAAGAACACCAUUGGGACUGAGUCUCGGUGCACGAGUCCCCAAAUCGGCUAGCAUGCGCGAAUAUAACUCCUCCAAAACCUGUGUUUCUCCAUCCUCAAGUGUUGUAAAGACAUGUUCAGCCGCAACCACAGGAAAGACAUCAAACAGUUUGUUGUAGGCUGCAUACGCGCUGUUUACAAACCCUUCCAUAAGGUAGGAGUUGUGACAACUGUCAAAUUUGCACGAAUCCGUACAAUUAAUUAAUCUUGAUUAGUGCUUAAUGACUGUGCUUAAUUACAACUGAUGACUUAAACUGCUUUCUGGUUACUACAUCAUACAUACAUGUGCAUCACAUAAUACAUGAUGUCAUCUCAUAUCACAAAUAGACUUUAUUGACAUA